UCUGGACCGUAUGAUCAUAUUUAAAGAGGAAACGGAUCUAGACCGUCACGUGCACGGGAAAAAAUCCAAACCGUUCGAUUGCGGCCACGCAGAUUGCCAACGUGGCCCCCCCUCGCAUGGCACCGAAUCAACGUGCCUUACCACGCGGCGUGCUCUGGUUUGUCAGGGCUGCUGACUGGGUGAUCCUACGUGGCAUAUUUUUCUUAAAUUUUUAUUUUGACCCCUAAUUUCUGAUUUU
rnacentral:lncRNA from 1 species